rnacentral:rRNA from 1 species
CAGCUCAAAUUUGAAAUCUGGCCCUACGGGCCCGAGUUGUAGUUUGCAGAGGACGCUCUGGGCGAGGCGCCUUCCGAGUUCCCUGGAACGGGACGCCGUAGAGGGUGAGAGCCCCGUACGGUUGGACGCUAGGCCUAUGUAGAGCUCCUUCGACGAGUCGAGUAGUUUGGGAAUGCUGCUCAAAACGGGAGGUAUAUGUCUUCUAAAGCUAAAUACCGGCCAGAGACCGAUAGCGCACAAGUAGAGUGAUCGAAAGAUGAAAAGCACUUUGGAAAGAGGGUUAAAGAGUACGUGAAAUUGUUGAAAGGGAAGCGCCCACGACCAGACUUGGGCCUGGCAGACCAACCGGCGUUGUCGCUGGGGCGCGCUGCCAGGCACAGGCCAGCAUCAGCCUGGCGCGGGGGAUAAAGGCGGCGGGAACGUGGCUCCCCUGUGGAGUGUUAUAGCCCGCCGCGCAAUGCCCUGGGCCGGGCUGAGGAUCGCGCAUUCGCAAGGAUGCUGGCGUAAUGGUCGCGAGCGACCCGUCUUGAAACACGGACCAAGGAGUCGUCCUCGUAUGCGAGUGUUGGGGUGGCAAACCCCUACGCGGAAUGAAAGUGAACGCAGGUGAGAGCCUCGGCGCAUCACCGACCGAUCCUGAUGUCCUCGGAUGGAUUUGAGUAGGAGCAUACGGGGCCGGACCCGAAAGAAGGUGAACUAUGCCUGUGUAGGGUGAAGCCAGAGGAAACUCUGGUGGAGGCUCGCAGCGGUUCUGACGUGCGAAUCG